rnacentral:rRNA from 1 species
GACGAACGCUGGCGGCGUGCUUAACACAUGCAAGUCGAACGAUGAAGCUGGAGCUUGCUCCGGUGGAUUAGUGGCGAACGGGUGAGUAACACGUGAGCAAUCUGCCCUUCACUCUGGGAUAACUGCGGGAAACUGUAGCUAAUACCGGAUACGAGACCUUGGGGCAUCCCAGGGUCUGGAAAGAAUUUCGGUGAAGGAUGAGCUCGCGGCCUAUCAGCUAGUUGGUGAGGUAAUGGCUCACCAAGGCGACGACGGGUAGCCGGCUUGAGAGGGUGACCGGCCACACUGGGACUGAGACACGGCCCAGACUCCUACGGGAGGCAGCAGUGGGGAAUAUUGCACAAUGGGCGAAAGCCUGAUGCAGCAACGCCGCGUGAGGGAUGAAGGCCUUCGGGUUGUAAACCUCUUUUAGUAGGGAAGAAGCGCAAGUGACGGUACCUACAGAAAAAGCACCGGCUAACUACGUGCCAGCAGCCGCCGCAG